UUUACUUUGAAAAACGUCAUUCGAUACUUGAUUAGCUAGCUAGCUACAUUACACGUCUGCUGUCACACAACGAAGAAAGUCCAUUAAUAACAAAUAUAAUAUCAACGCAUUGACAUUUUAAAGUUGCAAAGGCUAUGAAGUGUGCUCCACGCUAAACAAAGAAGAAGACUUAAGUGAUGCUCACUUUUCAGUGGAAUUAACUGCUGGAUGCUGAUAAGUUCAUCUUAUGAUGGGGGUAUUGAUCUUCAUAAGAUAAACAGACUCUUGCUCAGUAGCCUGGUUGUCCACUAGAUGUCUCCUCAUCACUACCUCAGAGUAUAGACUACAUGCUGUGUGUGAGUAAAGCAUCACACACUUUACCUCUAUGGUCUUUCGUCUCUAUUAUCUAAAUGAUGCCUCACCUUUCUCUUGUUUUUAUGGUAAAAUAUGGUUGUUUUUUUUCCAGAGCAGUCACUCCUGGGAGACACUGUAAACUAUCUUUUCUUUCCAGACCCAUUCCCCAGGAUACUGCCAUGACAACAACAUUGUUAGUCAUACUGACAACUUUGUGAUUAUGUAAAUAUUUUGCUCGUAGGAUAUCAAUAUGUGGGGCAAUCUCUAGCUCACCCAGUAAGAGGUUGCGCCCCAUGUGCGCCUGGGGUUCCGGUCUGACCUGCGGCCCUUUGCUGGGUGUCAUCCCCCAUCUCUCCCACCUUUCCUGUCUAUCUACUGU